CUCGCUCGGGGAGCUUGACGGCGAGGAAGACGCCCACCGAGGCGCCGACGAGAGUGGCGAGGGGGGUGAGGAUGAACAACCACACCAGAC
rnacentral:rRNA from 1 species